UUCCUACGGGAGGCAGCAGUAGGGAAUCUUCCGCAAUGGACGAAAGUCUGACGGGAGCAACGCCGCGUGAGUGAUGAAGGUUUUCGGAUCGUAAAGCUCUGUUGUUAGGGAAGAACAAGUGCCGUUCAAAUAGGGCGGCACCUUGACGGUACCUAACCAGAAAGCCACGGCUAACUACGUGCCAGCAGCCGCGGUAAUACGUAGGUGGCAAGCGUUGUCCGGAAUUAUUGGGCGUAAAGGGCUCGCAGGCGGUUUCUUAAGUCUGAUGUGAAAGCCCCCGGCUCAACCGGGGAGGGUCAUUGGAAACUGGGGAACUUGAGUGCAGAAGAGGAGAGUGGAAUUCCACGUGUAGCGGUGAAAUGCGUAGAGAUGUGGAGGAACACCAGUGGCGAAGGCGACUCUCUGGUCUGUAACUGACGCUGAGGAGCGAAAGCGUGGGGAGCGAACAGGAUUAGAUACCCUGGUAGU
rnacentral:rRNA from 1 species